AACCUAGCACACCUGCGGUGUGUACCUGCGGAAGGAUCAUUACCGAGUUUACAAACUCCCAACCCUUUGUGAACCUUACCAUAUUGUUGCUUCGGCGGGACCGCCCCGGCGCCUUCGGGCCCGGAACCAGGCGCCCGCCGGAGGCCCCAAACUCUUAUGUCUUUAGUGGUUUUCUCCUCUGAGUGACACAUAAACAAAUAAAUAAAAACUUUCAGCAACGGAUCUCAGAUCGGAAGAGCA
rnacentral:misc_RNA from 1 species